AAGGUGGAAUAAAAUUAAAUAAUGCACGGAAUGUCGCGAUUAAAUAAGUUACAGUGUACUAACUGUAUUUGAUGUUUAUUUAAUGCAACUAUAAGUGGAAUGUUUAUGAAAAGUAAUAAAUGAAAGAGCAGUCCUCAUAAAUAUGUAUCGACGACGAGUGAGAAGAGUUGUAACCAAUACAGCAAUACAACAUAAAAUCGAAACAAAAUGAAUAAAAAAUUAUUUUUUGUUAGAAGGGCUAUGUAAAAACUAACUAAUAACCCAAGUGAAAAUAAUACAUAGCAAGCUUUGUGAAAAGAUUUGUAAAACUCUGAAAUUAAUACAAAAUGCAGCAGCAGCAUAUGAUAUGAAAGGAAAGGAACAAGUGAAAAAUAGAAGCGAAAAGGAGCUAUUGUUUACAACAGACACUUAAUACAAAAGACGAUUACAACUACUACGACAAUAACAGAAGCAACAACAACAGCAACGGAGAGUUCUGGAGGUGAAGAAAAUUUUCUUGCAGAGGAGUGAUUGUAUAUGUAGCAUGAAAUCGUGUGUCGCCCCCUAAUUAUGCGAAAUAUGAAAAGGGACUCCGCUACAACAGCAGCAGGUAAAGGCACAUCAAUAGAAACUACACCUAGGAUACUGUUUAUAAAUUCAGCAAUUACUAACUCAUAUGCGGGUGUGGAUCCAUUCAGUGCCCAUAUUAGUUCAGGAACUACAGAUUUGAACAAUUAUCUAACUGCUAUUAGCGAUAUGGAAGCGACUACAACACACAUCAAUAUAAUCGACGAUGAGGAUGAAAAGGAUCCAUUGGCCCUAGACACAAGUUCUACUGAGGAUUCUCUCGGCAGUGCACCAUCAACAUCAACAAAGCAUUCCCAUAGCCUAAGACGCCAUGUACCCCGAAUUACAGUUAAACCUAUAUUACCAGAUAAGAAAAUUGUAACUCCAAGUUCAUCUGUAAAUACCUCCUCAACAUGUACGGGUGUCAGUGGAAGCGCUGCUCCUACUAUCAACAGUAGUCCAACAACAGGACGUGGCACUAGCAGUCGACGUAUUCAACAACAACAGCAAGCUAAAGCUGCCAUGGCGGCAGCGGCCGCAGCUGCAGCCGCAGCAGCAGCUGCUGCAGCUACCCAGAACACCACCGCCCCCGCCACCGCAAUAACGCAAGCUUCAACAAUGCGAGAAGUUUUGGCUUCCAUACCAGGAUUCAGCAUUAAACCACGAAGACGAUCAUCAAAGAAAAUAUCAACUGCCGCUCAAAUCGAACAAACCAAAGAUGGUAAAAUUGAUCUGGAGACGCCCGAUUCAAUAUUAGCAUCCACUAAUUUGCGUGCACUGCUUAACAAACAGACAUUUACCAUGCUCCCACCUUUGUAUCAGUACAAUUUAAUCCAAUUAUUGCCUAGCGUAGAUCGUGAGGCAAUUGAAAUGGAGCAUAAAAACCAGGCGAAUACGAUGCCAACAGGGGGCAUAAGACUGGGGCCUUCAAGUCUUAAUAAUGAAUUUUUCGCUCGUGCCUGUUUGGAGUGGCGGGAACGGCUCUCCGAAGGGGAAUUUACACCUGAAAAUCAAAUGAAGCUGAAGACGGAAGCAGAGCGAGAGAAGAAUAAACUAGAUCCUUGGAAGCUAAAACAUUUCGAACCGAUUUGGGGCGAGAAAUCAUUCAAUCGGUCAAAUGCAAACCGUCUAAAUGAAACCUGCUUGAGUAGUAGUAGUAGUAGUAAAUUGAAGAAUGAAGGGGAUAAUAACAAUAAAACAACACCAACAUGCUCCACCAUAGAAAUAGUAGAAACACCGACAACAUCAUCAUCAAUUUCAUCCACAACCACCAGUGCCUCGAAUUCAACAAAAACCGAAGCAUUAUCCUCAAAUUCACCAACUUGCUCGUUAUCAUCAACCAUGUCGUCGUCUUCAUAUGAAGUGGGAACAGCUGCUACGGUGGCGUCUUCAGCACCACAUCCUAUAGCAAUUUCCUUAUUGAAAAGUGAAAAUAUUUCUUCGAUGAAAAAGCAAAAACUUAACGAUACUCUAGAAACUAGUGUAAAACAGGAAACCCCUGAAGUAAAGACUGAAACCCUUUUGCAAAAUUCUAAACAAUUAAAGGGAAAUGAUAGAGAAGACACUAGAAAUCCAAGCGCCCCUGAACUACCAACAACAUCUGCGUUUGCUAUGAGGUCAAUACAAGAAUCUCAGAGACGUGGUACCAAGCGACCUUCAGCCAGUCCUCCAAACAAAGAUUUUCUACAUAAAGAUGAGAGUAAUGACGCUACAAACACAAACUUAGACGAAGACGAAGAGGAUGGAAGUGAAAUUAUUUUGGAUGACUGCAAUGUUCCUAUAGAAAUCAAAAGUGAUAGUGAAAAUGAUGUUGAAACCGAAGGUCCUACUAGUAACAAAAAGUUGAAAAUGGAAACCACAGCGAUGACGACGACAACAACACCACCAGACAUAGUCUACCAUGAUCUAACUGUGGAUGAAAUAGUGGAGAACGAGGAACCAACCACCCUCCAAAACAUUGAUCAUAUGGAGGUAGUAGAAGAGGAUGACGAUAAAGAUUUGAUAAACAGCUCCACCACCACCACAACAUCUUUUUCUGCUACAAUGUCAAAUGUGAAUAGUACCUGUGAUAAUAAUCAGCAAAUUAAUGAAACGGAAACUCAUGCUAUUGACCACCUUGCGACGACAAACAAUGAUCAUGGUCAAUAUUUCUCAUUUCCUGCAAGCUCUUUGGAUAUUCAACAAAACAAACAGGAAGAGCUGCAACACCCAACUCUACAAUUAUCGCUAAAAUUAGAUCAGUUUGAAAAUUCAGCUAUAGAUAAUAGCUACAAUGAAGACGAUGAAGAUAUUAUAGAGCAAAAAUUUAACGAUGCUGAGAAUUAUGUAUUAGAAUCCGGCGAAGUUAGUACGGAUGAUAGCGGUACGGAUUCAAAGCCUGUGAAAACUAACACUCACACUGAUUCAACGGUGGAUACGCCAGCCCCCGCUGAAAGCGUUGUUAACGAUGAUGAUUUUUUAUUUACUAACUCUCUCGAUCGUGUUAUCGUACCCGAUGAAACUACUGAUGAAAGUAAUCUCAUGACGUCAUCGUCAUCCGUUGUCUCAACAACAACGACAUCCUCUUCAUUGUCUGCCGACUCGCUGCCAAUGACAUCAACUUCGUCAUUUGCAAUGCCGGCAUCCUCAUCUAAUACUUUGGAUAAUGUAAAAGCAAUGAUAACAUCCGUGGUGUCAUUGGCUCCAGCAGCGCCAAUAAUCAAGGAACAAACACAGAACCCACAAACACAGUCUAUGGCCUUGGGACCCACGGCAAGUGAUGUUUUCCACCAUUUAAAUCAUGAUUGGAAUUUUGGAGGUCUCAAGCUAGAGGCACCAUCAAUGUCCAAUACAAGGUUGGGCGGCCAAGAAGAACAGCCCCAAUCCAGUAAUUAUUGCAAUGUUCUGCAGCAAUCGAUUAAUCAUCAGUCUCAGUUAAAUGCUGGCAUAGACGUUGGAGAUGGAGGCAAUCAACAAAAUGAUGCUUCUGUUAGAGAAGAAUCUGAUUUGCAAGAUGUUGUCCUAGCUGAAGCGAUUGAGGAACAUACAGUUGAGGAGGAGGAUGAAGAAGAGCUGGAUGCGGCUAGUGAAGCAGUGAGGGAUAUUGUUGACGAAUUGCAGCAACAGCAACAACAUCAUUUGCAUUCAUUAGAACUGGAUGAAAAUUUGCCGAGGCAGCAUCUUGAUCAGCAACAACAACAGGAGCUGUCUCACAUCAAUGAAUUUGUUGGAGAGCUUACAUCUGCUGAAGUUAUGGGCGAAGUACCAAUGUCGGUGACAGAGAUGGAAGUUUCAAGUACCGUCAUAACCAAUACCAACUCCAACGACAGCAUGAACGAUAUUAGCAUGUGUAGCAGUAGUAGCAGUAGCGGUAGCGGAAGUCUAAGUACUGCAAAUAUGGGCCAAACCCAUGCUCAACCUACACAAAUCUCUAGCCCACAAACCAUACAUAGCACUCCCCCACAAAGGCAGAUAUUAGUGGAUUCCAAUGGACAAAUUAUAGGCAACUUUUUGGUUCAACCCCAGCAUCAUCAUACGCAACACCUACAGAGCCAACAGCAACAUUUGUUGCAACAAGCCGCUCAACAGUUCUCAUUACAAGCGGCCGCUCAACAACAAAACACUGCUGCUGCAGUUCUGGCAGCACAGCAGCCAACGAAUUCGGUAGCAUUUACAGCAGCAGCGGCCGCGCGACAACAACAGCAGCAAAGGCAACAACAGUUGACCCAAAAAAUUCUGCCUGUAAUAAGAAAAUCGUUUGAAAUGAACACUAAUGGACAGCAUUUUCUGACCAGCGCUGCUGUGCAAGCACAUAUAGACACCACGUCGCAUCAACAAAUUCAACAGUUUUCUUUGCAACAAACAUCAACACACCAACACCAGCAGCAGCAGCAACAACCACAGCCACCAACACAGCAACAGUUGCCUCAAAAUGUGACUACACAAAGACAGUUUUUGAGUCACUCUCCCACGCAGCCAAACAAUAGCUUAACGCCCCAGAACAACAUGCUAACCAACCAACAUCAACAACAACUACAUUUGCAGCAACAGUUACAACAGCUGCAACAGAAUCAUCAUAUAAAUGCAUUUCCAAAUGUGAGCAAUCAGUCAUCAGCAUCCACACAACAUACCCAAACACAGCCGCCACCAUCACACCCACCCAACAUAACACCGAAGUUUAUUUCCAAACAGCUAAGUAUUAUUUCGAUGCCACCAAGAAAUGCUGCAAUUCCCGCCGGCAUUGCCGCCUCCACUACAGUUGCCAUUCCGUCCACUGCCUCCAAUACGCUGUACAACACCAACAAUAUAAAUGCGUCAAAUGUAAGUGUAAAUGUUCUUAAGACAUUACCGCCAUCUGGAGUGCCUACAACAAUUGCUCAACAGAGACCAGCAAUUAAGGCUUCGAACACGGGCAAAGGACGUAAAUCAACCGCCAACAAAUUGCCACCUGGGGCUGUGAAUAUAGAGCGCAGUUAUCAAAUAUGUCAGGCUGUCAUACAAAACAGUCCCAAUCGGGAGAAUUUGAAGGCUCAGUUACGACCUCCAUCGGCUUUGAUGAGUCAACAGCAGCAGCAGCAACAAAUGCAGCAUCAACAGCAAAAUCAACAAAACUCACAUGCAGCCACAUCCACCAAAACGCCACCAACAGCAACUGUUGUAGCGAAUGUUAAGACUCAAGAAGAUGUCAUUAUUAAUACCCUUACUGCGACUAAUAAUCCCGCAGCCGCUACAAUGCCAUCAAAUGUGAUGGGCGUGGGCAGACCCGGAGUUUAUAAGGUCAUUGGACCACGCAUGGGUUUCCCUCGGAAAAAAUACGUGCAGCGAAAAUCCUCUCCGACUUUAAUACGUCACAUUUUUGCUAACCAAGGUUCUGCGGUACUUCAAAAUGCGAAUCUUACAGCCGUGGCCACACCGGUAACUAAUGUUGGUGGUGUGGCGCAAAAGGUGACAAUAAUGCAACAACCAGUUGGUGUUACCCAACAACAGCUACAAGCAACUCACGAUAUUCAUCACAAUGGCAAUGGCCAAUAUGUUCUCUUACAUCGCGCCAAUGUUGGUGCCGCCGACAAUCAAGCUCCACGUGCUUCCAGCGCUCCACCAGUUCCUCAAAAUCAGAACCAAUUGCAUGGUAUGAAUGGUAUUUCUGGACGCGGGCGUCCUGCUUCAGUAGAUGUAGAUUUGCUGAAUUCCCUGCAAGACAUACAUAAUAACACAGUUUGUGCUGCGACAUCAAAUGCCACAACACAAAUUGUUCGGCGGAACAUAGCUACGGGAAAUAUCUAUAUAGAAGGCAUUGGUGACACAUCGGGUUUGGUUGAUGGCAGCGGAAAUUACAUAGUAACUACAACAACUGCAACUUCGAUGCCAUCAACGGUGGCCAGCGGUGGAAUUAAUUGCGGCGUAAGAACAAAUCAACAACUACAAAAUCCACAUCAACAGUGUAACGAUGGAGGCAGUGUUAAUAGCAAUAACAGUCCAAAUACCACAACGCAAGAUCCCAACAACUGUGCCUGUUCUUUAAACGCCAUGGUAAUAUGUCAAUCAUGUGGAGCCUUUUGCCAUGAUGAUUGCAUAUCUUCUUCUAAGCUAUGUGUUUCCUGUGUGAUUAGAUGAAUUAGAGAUAUGCAAAGGCCGCCUCAAAGCAGCAUAUGGCAGUUAUUAAAACAACAGUAUUCGCUCACAUAAAAAAGGUCAUAGAUUCAAUGAGACACUUAGGAGAUACUGAGAUACUUUAGCGUAUCUCAUUUUCAAAUAUCUUCAGGACGAUUAUAUUCUCAGUUCUACAACAAAUUUGAAAAAAGCCAUGUCUUUUAAAUGUACAUAUUAACAGAUUCAAGCGAAAUAUUUCACGCUGUAUAUAUCCAAAACAACUCGAGUCUAAGUAUGAAAUAGAAUACGUAUAUCUAAAAACCAUACUAAAAAAAUGCUCCUAUGAAAGGUCAUAGGGAUCUUUGGAAUCGUUUGAGCAACAGGUUUUAUACACGGAUGAAACAUUUAUACGUUGUUGAUAUCUACAAUAGUUUAAACGUCUACCUCAACGAACUAGCGUCUUAUUUUGCUGCAAGAGAUCUGCAGAUAUCCGCCACCAAGUCUUCAGACACAUUGUUCACUACAUAUUCGAUGGAGUAACGAUUCCGAACAUCAAGUGGCCAAAAAUGCUAAGUGUCACAUUUGACAGCGCUUACGCACUCUCCUCACAUUCACAGAAAUAGAAACAAGGUCCUCAGGUCACUUGGCGGCAACACUUGAGGUGCUGUUGACCACGUACGAUGCAAUUGACCGCUCAGUGGUGAGUUAUGAAGUGCCAAUGUGAUCUCGCAGGCUAUGUCACACGCAGUGGAAUAAUAUUCAGAUCUGUCAGUAUGCCGCUCUUCGAAGUGCGACGGGCUGUCUCUUCAGUUCUAACGUGGACCAAAUCCAUCAGGGGACAAAGAUCCUACCCGUGCGAAAACAUAUUCACAUCCUGUCUAAGCAAUACCUUCUGGGCUGCUAUGGCAGUGAUCAUCCAAAACAUCCAAUUUAGAUCCAAGGUGAAUCUUCAUGAUCUAAAACGAUACAAGAGAUAAUCUCUAGAUCAAGCGGCAGACCAAGCGGGUCUGCACAACAUUCAUCCAGACACCGUAGCAGAUGGGUUGAAUAGCUACCGGGUGAAUAUUGUCCUUGAAGAAUGACCGUCAUCCAUUGCAGCUGAGAAAAUUGACCUCCCCCGGCAAACCAAAGUAGUUUUGGCCCAAUUACAAUCUGGCAGAUGCAGCCGCCUUAAUUCCUACAGAGCAAGGAUUGAUGCCAACCUGCAGGAUGUGUGUCCCGAUUCUGACCUGGGACCACACAACACACGUCGUCUCAGACCUAGACCCAUUCGUCUCAGACCUAGAGACCCACUCGUCUCAUAUCUAGAGAGUGUAUGCAGAAGAGUGAAAUGAAUGUAGAUUAGAGAUGUGUCAGUGAGCCAAUUUUUACCCACGAUAAAAACAUGUUACUUACCCACGCUCACGAGAAAAAAUUUUACUCACGCACGCUUAUGCGUGAUUUUGUUAUGUCAAAUCACGUUCUUGCACGCCCACGAGAAAAUCGUGUCUCACGACCCACAAGACACUCACAACUCACGAGAAAAUCACGACUCACAAGAUUAAUCACUACUCACGGUUGAAAGAAUAUUUUUCCAUGAAGCGAAUACUAUUUUUUCAUGCGUCUCAAAUCAUGCGGUAUUUUAACGUACGAAUAUUAAUGUAUAAAAUGUAUGACCCCUGCACAACGACUUAUUUGCUCUUUUCAUUUUUAUUCCCUUCCCCAGACCCCAAUUUUCAAAAACGCCAGAUCUCGAAGAUGCGUGCACCGAUUUAAGCGAAAAUGUGUAUGCCAAAAAUUUAUGCGUCAAAUAAUUUGGGGGAUGCCCCAUCCCAAAACCCACCCGGACGGACAUGUUUACCGAUUGGGACAAUAUUUAGAGUAGAGUACGAACUUGGUAUACAAAUUUCGCCCAAAGUGUUCGUGGGGGGGGAGUCCCCCACCCCAAGAGGACUUUCACCGCAUUGGGCAAUAUGGGUAUCAAGUAAAAGGUAUUUAAAAGAAGACUACAAAUCUGACAUAAAAAUUCAUUCCUAGGUGUCUGAGGGGCCUCCCCACCCCCCAAAACUCCUCCGAACGGACAUGUUUACCGAUUGGGUACCAUA